UCGAGCCUCAGGUUCGAACGACAGGUCAGUAGCUUCGGGCGCGUGACCUGUGCGGUGACAACCCACAACAAGAGGCACGUUAGUGGCGAACACCGCACAGUGAAAACAAAAAGACUUAUUUUAGCGUGACAGGAGGUAGCACGUUGUAAAUGUCACCGAGCAGGAGAUGUUGACACGUAAGUAGUUAGGUGGGUGCCAGCUGUAUGUCCCAUGAAAAACUGUUUUCUGUUUGUCAUUUUGUA
rnacentral:lncRNA from 1 species